GAUGAACGCUGGCGGCGUGCCUAAUACAUGCAAGUCGAGCGAACGGACCCGAAUCUUGCUUCUCUGAUGUUAGCGGCGGACGGGUGAGUAACACGUGUAUAACCUACCUAUAAGACUGUGAUAACUUCGGGAAACCGGAGCUAAUACCGGAUAAUAUUUUGAACCGCAUGUUUCAAACGUGAAAGACGGUCUUGCUGUCACUUAUAGCUGCAUCCGCGCUGCAUUAGCUAGUUGGUAAGGUAACGGAUUACCAAGGCAACGAUGCAUAGCCGACGGGAGAGGGGGAACGGCGACACUGGAAGGGAGAAACGGACCAGAGACCUACGGGAGGCAGCAGUAGGGAAUAAUCCGCAAUGGGCGAAAGCGUGACGGAGCAACGCCGCGUGAGUGAUGAAGGUCUUCGGAUCGUAAAACUCUGUUAUUAGGGAAGAACAUAUGUGUAAGUAGCUGUGCACAUCAUGACGGUACCGAAGCAGAAAGCCACGGCUAACUACGUG
rnacentral:rRNA from 1 species